rnacentral:rRNA from 2 species
UACGGAGGGUGCGAGCGUUGUUCGGAAUUAUUGGGCGUAAAGCGCACGUAGGCGGCCCGUUAAGUCUCAUGGUGAAAGGCCGGGGCUCAACCCCGAGCAUGCCGGGGAUACUGGGGGGCUGGAGACAGGUAGAGGCCAGCGGAAUUCCGGGUGUAGCGGUGGAAUGCGUAGAGAUCCGGAAGAACACCGGAGGCGAAGGCGGCUGGCUGGACCUGAUCUGACGCUGAGGUGCGAAAGCGUGGGGAGCGAACAGG